rfam:Rattus norvegicus chromosome 3, whole genome shotgun sequence.
GGGGAUUUAGCUCAGUGGUAGAGCGCUUGCCUAGCAAGCACAAGGUCCUGGGUUCGGUCCUCAGCUCCA